rnacentral:rRNA from 1 species
CCUACGGGUGGCAGCAGUGAGGAAUAUUGGUCAAUGGCCGGAAGGCUGAACCAGCCAUGCCGCGUGAAGGUCAGUGCCCUAUGGGCGUUACACUUCUUUUGUGCGGGAGCAAUAAUGGUCACGUGUGGCCAGACGAGAGUACCGUACGAAUAAGCAUCGGCUAACUCCGUGCCAGCAGCCGCGGUAAUACGGGGGAUGCAAGCGUUAUCCGGAUUUAUUGGGUUUAAAGGGUGCGUAGGCUGUGAGGUAAGUCAGCGGUGAAAUGCCCCCGCUCAACGGGGUGAAGUGCCAUUGAUACUGCCUUGCUGGAAUGCGGAUGCCGUGGGAGGAAUGUGUGGUGUAGCGGUGGAAUGCAUAGAUAUCACACAGAACACCGAUUGCGAAGGCAUCUCACGAAUCCGCGAUUGACGCUGAUGCACGAAAGCGUGGGUAUCAAACAGGAUUAGAUACCCUGGUAGUC